GUUAGAGGAGGUAAUCAAAGUGGGCCUUUGGUACAAGAUGACGUAGGACCCAAGGUGUGGAAAGUGUAUUCUAGAAGGGAGAAAGGGGGAAAAAGGGAAUCUUCUGCUAACUGACUAAUCCCUAACAGAAUGGCAGAUGGCAGAGAGAGAAAGGCUAGAUUGUAUUUAGAUCUUGUAUAAGAAGGACGUUGGAGAGGGGUUGAGGGGUUAUCUAAAUUCAUACCUUCUUUAGAGAAAUGGAUAGGAAGCCAUAAGCUUCCAAUUAGGAGCUUGCUCUUGUCAGAAUUAGGGAUCAUUCCCCUUCUCUGUAAUUCACCCAAGUCAAUCAAUAAAUAAUCUGUUUCCUCUGCUAUUCCUCUGUUUGUUUGCUUGUUUCAUUGUUAGGAAAGAAACGUUUCCUAACAAUUUGGUCCGACCUACCGGAUCAGUCGCCGGAGCUAGUGAAUGCCACCCAGGAAGACCAAGGGUGUAGUCGUUCCAAUGGAAGCCAAGAUCGAUGCGCUGGAGAGUGAGCUGGCUGCUAUGCGCACCACACUCACGGCGGUAACUUCCGCAAUGAAGGACCUACCUACCACACUGGUAGCGAUGGUGGAGAAGGCGGUGGGAAAAUCUGUCGCCAUUGAUGUCGAAUCUGGGGAGAAAACCCCUGAGUCAACCGGAGGAAAAGUGGUGGGUUCGAGCCAACCUGUGCUGCAUGGCGAGGCUCUGAACGAGUUCCGUCACUCGGUAAAGAAGGUAGAGUUACCGAUGUUUGAUGGGAAGGACCCAGCUGGAUGGAUCUCACGCGCUGAGAUCUAUUUCAAGGUGCAGGAGACGUCGCCGGAAGUCAAAGUAAGCUUGGCUCAACUAAGCAUGGAGGGAGGCACCAUCCAUUUUUACAACUCCCUCCUCGAAUUGGAGGAGGAGCUGACGUGGGAUCGAUUCCGCGAUGCGCUACUGGAACGUUACGGCGGCAACGGUGAUGGAGACGUCUACGAGCAGCUUUCCGAUCUCCGUCAGCGAGGCACGGUGGAGGAAUACAUAACGGAUUUUGAGUACUUGACAGCGCAGAUUCCCAAGCUACCGGAAAAGCAGUACCAGGGGUAUUUCUUGCACGGGUUGAAGGAUGAAAUUCGUGGCAAGGUUCGCAGUUUAAUAGCCAUGGGUGGAGUGAAUCGAGCUCGUUUGCUCGUAGUGACGCGAGCGGUGGAGAAGGAGGUUAGGGGUGAUGGGGGAUCGGGUCAGGCUCGAUCUAACCAAAUUGGUGGAACGGGUACAAGAACCGGGUUGGGAGGAUCCAACAGGGCAGGAGGAGCUGAUUGGGUGUGGGUCCGGGGGAAUAAAGAAACAAGCCCAACAAGUGCCAGGCCCAAGUCUAAUCCACCAAGGGCAGAGCAAACAAAAAAUGUUGGAGAGACUCGUCGGGCUGGGCCAAGAGAUCGGGGUUUCAAUCAUUUGUCUUACCCCCAGCUGAUGGAGCGUCGCCAAAAGGGCCUUUGUUUCAAGUGUGGCGGAUCAUACCACCCAAAUCACGUUUGCCCCGAUAGACACCUACGUCUUCUUAUUCUCGAGGAUGAAGAAGAAGAGCUCGAGGAUAGUAAAAUUCUAGCAAUGGAGGUCAAGGAAGAUGGAGAGGACCCGGAAUGCGAGCUUAGUUUGAUGAGUUUGGGAGAUUUUGGAGGGAAAGCUGGUGACAUGCCUCGUACGAUGCGCCUUAGAGGUACCAUAGCUGGGAUUCCGGUGAUGGUACUUGUGGACAGUGGGGCUACCCAUAACUUCGCCGAUUGUCGAGUGGUGCGCAGGAUGGGUUGGGAAACGGUGGAGACUCCAUUGAUGACGGUCAAGCUUGGUGAUGGUUACAAAGCACAAGCCCAGGGUCGCUGUGUUGGGUUGCUACUCAACCUCGGUGGCUAUCAAUUGCAAUGCGCACCUCAGUUGUUUGAUUUGGGGGGUCCUGACAUAGUGCUGGGAAUCGAAUGGUUGAGGACUUUGGGGGAUACACUGGUCAAUUGGGAUGCUCAUAGGAUGAGUUUUUGGAGUAAUCACAAGUGGGUCACGCUGCAAGGGGUUCGUGCGGAAGAUGAGAAAAUGGUCGCUUUGCAGAGUAUUUUAGCACCAGGAGAGAAGGAGCAAGGUUUUCGGGGAGCAAAGAACUUUAAGCAGGCACCCUCGCAACCUCAGGAGAGUUUAACCCCAAGUCAGUUGAAAGAGCUUGAGCAGUUGCUGCAAGCCUUUGAGGAAGUGUUCCAAGAAAAACAGGGUCUACCUCCAAGCAGGGGCAGAGCACAUGGAAUCACGAUCAUGGAGGGGCAAGGACCGGUGAACGUGAGGCCAUAUCGCUAUUCGCAUCAUCAGAAGAAUGAAAUCGAAAAGCAAGUGAAGGAGUUGCUCUCAGCAGGUGUUAUCAGGCAUAGCACAAGCGCUUAUUCAAGCCCGGUUAUUUUGGUUAAAAAGAAAGACCAAACUUGGCGUAUGUGUGUAGAUUAUAGGGCUUUGAAUAGGGUGACUGUGCCCGACAAAUUUCCGAUUCCGGUGAUUGAGGAACUGUUAGAUGAACUCCAUGGUUCAGUUUUCUUCUCCAAGCUGGAUUUAAAGUCAGGGUAUCACCAGGUCUUGGUUAGGGAAGAGGACGUCCACAAAACAGCUUUUCGUACUCACGAAGGACACUAUGAAUACUUGGUCAUGCCUUUCGGUUUGAUGAAUGCCCCUUCGACGUUUCAGAGUCUCAUGAAUGAGGUGUUUCGACCUAUGCUAAGGAAGGGGGUGCUGGUGUUUUUUGACGACAUUUUAGUUUAUAGCAAAACCUGGGAGGCACACUUGCUGCAAUUGGAGAAGGUCUUGAGUCUCUUACAGCAGCACUGCUUGACUGUAAAUAAGAAGAAAUGUCACUUUGCUACAAAAUCAGUGGAGUAUUUGGGGCACCUCAUUUCUGAGCAGGGAGUGGCUGUUGAUCCCAACAAGGUCCUUAGUGUGCAAGCGUGGCCAGUCCCCAAGAAUGUGAAGGGAGUUCGUGGAUUCUUAGGACUAACGGGGUAUUACCGCAAGUUUAUUCAGAACUAUGGGAAGAUCGCGAAGCCAUUAACAGAGCUUACCAAGAAGGAAGCUUUCAAGUGGGGGGCACAGGCUCAGGAGGCUUUUGAUAUCCUCAAGCAAAAGUUGACUUCUGCUCCCGUCCUGGUUUUGCCUGAUUUUUCUCAGGAAUUUCGCUUGGAAUGUGAUGCAUCUGGAACGGGAAUUGGGGCGAUUUUACUGCAAGGAAAUCAUCCUAUAGCUUACUUCAGUAAGGCAUUAGGACCAAGGAAUUUGGCUAAGUCUGCCUAGGAAAAAGAGCUGAUGGCUGUUGCUUUAGCGAUUCAACACUGGAGGCCAUAUUUGUUGGGUCGUAAAUUUGUGGUAUCUACAGAUCAAAGGAGCCUUAAGGAGUUCUUACACCAGAAAAUUGUGACAGGGGAUCAACAAAACUGGGCUGCAAAGCUUCUAGGGUACAACUUCGAUAUCGUGUACAAGCCUGGGAAAAGCAACCGUGGGGCAGAUGCUUUAUCUCGCAGGGAAGAAACAGGGGAACUUUGUCCUCUAAUUUCGUAUCCUCGAUGGGAAGAGCAGGGGGUGGUGCAUGACGAGGUUCAACGUGAUCCUAAGUUGAAGGCUAUAAUUGAAGCAUUGGCUCACAAUCCUCAAGCACAUCCAGGGUACAGUUUUAUUCGAGGGGCCCUGUUUUACCAUAAUCGCCUUGUCCUGUCCAGAACUUCUUCUUUAAUUCCUCAAAUGUUACAAGAGUUUCAUACAUCUCCUCACGGGGGUCAUUCUGGUUUCUUGCGUACCUAUAGGCGCAUAGCUGCUAACAUCUACUGGCGUGGCAUGACUCGCACGAUUCAGGAGUUUGUGCAUGCUUGUGAUGUGUGCCAGCGUCAUAAGUACUUAGCGGCGUCUCCGGCGGGUCUUCUUCAGCCGUUACCCAUUCCGGAGCGAGUGUGGGAGGAUGUCUCGCUGGAUUUCAUCACUGGGCUUCCGCGAUCCAAAGGCUUUGAGGCCAUCUUCGUGGUGGUUGAUCGACUCACCAAGUACGCGCAUUUCAUUCCCCUUCGUCAUCCUUAUACCGCGCGGAGUGUAGCUGAGCAAUUUGCCAGGGAAAUCGUUCGUUUGCACGGCGUUCCCUCGUCAAUUGUAAGUGAUCGCGAUCCAUUGUUUGUGAGUCAUUUCUGGAAGGAGCUUUUCCGUUUACAGGGGACACAGCUCAAGAUGAGCUCAGCUUAUCAUCCCGAGUCGGAUGGACAAACGGAAGUUGUUAAUCGUUGCUUGGAGACUUAUCUUCGUUGUUUCGCUGCCGAUCAGCCUCGUUCUUGGGCCAAUUGGUUACACUGGGCUGAGUAUUGGUUCAACACCUCUUUCCACUCAGCUAUCCAACAAACUCCAUUCGAGGCGGUGUAUGGCCGCAAGCCACCAGUAUUGACACGAUGGGCUAUUGGAGAGACACGCGUGCAAGCAGUAGCGCAGGAUUUGCAAGACAGGGAUGAGGCUCUUCGUCAGCUCAAACAACAUCUCCUUCUCGCGCAAGAUCGUAUGCGUGCCCAAGCUAAUUCGAAACGCAGAGCAUCGGAGUUUGAGGUGGGGGAAUGGGUCUUUGUGAAGCUUCGUGCUCAUCGCCAGUUAUCUCUAGCAAAUCGCGUCCACGCGAAGCUUGCAGCACGUUAUUUUGGGCCUUAUCCUAUCAUAGCUCGUGUUGGGGCAGUCGCGUACCGUUUGAAGCUUCCUGAGAAUGCACGCAUUCACCCUGUUUUUCACAUUUCCCUGCUCAAGAAGGCAGUAGGUACUUAUGCAGAGGAGACUGAAUUACCAGAGCAGCUGGACGGAGAAGAGUUGUCUUCAAUCCAACCUUUUGUGGUUUUGGCUCAUAGGGACAUUCCUCGGCAAGGUGAGACCAUUCCUCAAGUUCUCAUUCAGUGGUAUGGCAAGACUUCAGAGGAAGCAACUUGGGAAGAUUGUGCAACUAUUCGUAGUGAGUUCCCUGACUUCAACCUUGAGGACAAGGUUGUGUCUUCUGGAGGGAGUAUUGUUAGAGGAGGUAAUCAAAGUGGGCCUUUGGUACAAGAUGACGUAGGACCCAAGGUGUGGAAAGUGUAUUCUAGAAGGGAGAAAGGGGGAAAAAGGGAAUCUUCUGCUAACUGACUAAUCCCUAACAGAAUGGCAGAUGGCAGAGAGAGAAAGGCUAGAUUGUAUUUAGAUCUUGUAUAAGAAGGACGUUGGAGAGGGGUUGAGGGGUUAUCUAAAUUCAUACCUUCUUUAGAGAAAUGGAUAGGAAGCCAUAAGCUUCCUAUUAGGAGCUUGCUCUUGUCAGAAUUAGGGAUCAUUCCCCUUCUCUGUAAUUCACCCAAGUCAAUCAAUAAAUAAUCUGUUUCCUCUGCUAUUCCUCUGUUUGUUUGCUUGUUUCAUUGUUAGGAAAGAAACGUUUCCUAACACAAACACUCAUCUAUAAUGCAGUAUUGUGGACCACUCAUUUAGGAGGGGGUUCGGUAUGGAAAAAUGAUAAUAAGUGUUUGAUUCAAAGAAGGGGAAUGACUUUAACAGAGGAU
rnacentral:lncRNA from 1 species